AACGCACAUUGCGCCUCUCGGUAUUCCGGGAGGCACGCCUGUUCGAGCGCCAUUUCACGCCCCAAGCGAUGCUUGAUGUUGGACGAUGUUGGCCUGUCUGUCGACUCCCGUUGGGGAGUGGAGGGAAAGGGACGACACGUCUGGAACGCGUUGGCGCCGCCGCCGGACCACGAGCGUAGCAAGACGAUGAAAAAAGUCAAGUCGCUUGGUUGGAACCGGACGGACGGUGAUUGCUAGGAAGUUACUUUCCAAACGAAUUUGAAUGGUUUGGCCUCGGAUCAGGCGGGGAUACCCGCUGAACUUAA
rnacentral:misc_RNA from 1 species